AUUGAACGCUGGCGGCAUGCCUUACACAUGCAAGUCGAACGGCAGCACGGGUGCUUGCACCUGGUGGCGAGUGGCGAACGGGUGAGUAAUACAUCGGAACAUGUCCUGUAGUGGGGGAUAGCCCGGCGAAAGCCGGAUUAAUACCGCAUACGAUCUACGGAUGAAAGCGGGGGACCUUCGGGCCUCGCGCUAUAGGGUUGGCCGAUGGCUGAUUAGUUAGUUGGUGGGGUAAAGGCCUACCAAGGCGACGAUCAGUAGCUGGUCUGAGAGGACGACCAGCCACACUGGGACUGAGACACGGCCCAGACUCCUACGGGAGGCAGCAGUGGGGAAUUUUGGACAAUGGGCGAAAGCCUGAUCCAGCAAUGCCGCGUGUGUGAAGAAGGCCUUCGGGUUGUAAAGCACUUUUGUCCGGAAAGAAAUCCUUGGCUCUAAUACAGUCGGGGGAUGACGGUACCGGAAGAAUAAGCACCGGCUAACUACGUG
rnacentral:rRNA from 1 species